UGGCAGAAUGUGGAAUGUUUGCCAUGCAGAUCUCUGAAAUAUGCGGUCCUCGGCUACUACUAAGGAAUGGAACAUGUUCUCCAUCAACUCAAACACACGGUCCUCGACUACGAUCAAGGAAUGAAACGUGUUCUCCAUCAACUCAAAUAUGCGAUCCUCGGCUAUGAUGGAAGAACGGAAUAUGUUCUCCAUCAACUCAAACAUGCAAUCCUCGACCAUGAUCGAUGAGAGGAAUAUGUUCUCCAUUAACUCAAACACAUGAUCCUCAGC
rnacentral:lncRNA from 1 species